rnacentral:rRNA from 1 species
CUGAACCAGCCAAGUAGCGUGAAGGAUGAAGGUCUAUGGAUUGUAAACUUCUUUUAUACGGGAAUAAACGGAUCCACGUGUGGAUUUUUGCAUGUACCGUAUGAAUAAGGAUCGGCUAACUCCGUGCCAGCAGCCGCGGUAAUACGGAGGAUCCGAGCGUUAUCCGGAUUUAUUGGGUUUAAAGGGAGCGUAGAUGGGUUGUUAAGUCAGUUGUGAAAGUUUGCGG